rnacentral:rRNA from 1 species
AUUGAACGCUGGCGGCAGGCCUAACACAUGCAAGUCGAGCGAGCGGCGGACGGGUGAGUAAUGUAUGGGGACUGCCCGAUAGAGGGGGAUAACUACUGGAAACGGUGGCUAAUACCGCAUACUAUCGGUAAACCCAUAGGGCAUUAGGUAGUAGGUGGGGUAAAGGCUCACCUAGGCGACGAUCUCUAGCUGGUCUGAGAGGAUGAGAUGACACACUGGGACUGAGACACGGCCCAGACUCCUACGGAGGCAGCAGGGGGGAAUAUUUCAAAUGGGGCGCAAGCCUGAUGCAGCCAUGCCGCGUGUAUGAAGAAGGCCUUAGGGUUGUAAAGUACUUUCAGCGGGGAGGCGUUACCCGAAUAAGAAGCACCGGCUAACUCCGUGCCAGCAGCCGCGGUAAUAC